GUCACUUUUUCCUGGGAAAGAAGAGGAUGUCAAGGAAAGUGACCCUGAGCAAGGUUUUGAAAUGAGAGGGUCAAGACAUUUCUGGAAGAAGAAGCAACAUUGAGCAAAGACCUAAAGCAGUGCAGACGUGCUCGCCCCGUUCUGCUUACAAGGAAGCUCAGUCUCCGACACGUUAAAGCUUGCCCAUGACCAUACUGCUCAUAUUGCUGUCUCUCUCCAGCCAGCUGAAUACCUAAUAUCCAGGGCAACUUUGGAAGAAGCCACACAAUGAAGAUGACAGAGAAUUUAUAGCCUGGGUUCCUGAAUGAAUGUCUCCAUCACAGACUGGAUUCUGCAAAGGAAAACCUUGCCAGAUGCGCCGUGUGUGCCCGGCCUCCGCCACCUUCACUGCCUGCCGCCCAGCCAGCCGUCAGUCCCUGGGAACACUCACCUGGCUUCUGAGUCCACAGAGCCUUGAAGCGGCUUCCUGGUGUGUGUGUGUGUGUGUGUGUGUGUGUGUGUGCGCGCGCGACUUAGUGCAUCGCUGUCAGUACCUGGUGCUGGCUAAUGUGGUCUACCUACCAGGCAAUAUAUUCCUAUUUUAACGGGCUUCUUGAGAGAGUAUUUUUUUUAAGUUGUCUUUUGAAACUAAGUACAGUUAUUUCUUUAAGAGAGAAAUUAUAUAACAGAAGAAAAUCAUCGAGGCUUUUCUGACAUUAUACGUUAGUUUUCACCUCUGUAGAUCAAAUGAUUGCAUUUUUAAAACUAUUCCUUCUGAAUCAGUCAUUUCCCAAUUUUACUGUAAUGUGAUUGAUUAUCUCCUGGGUACUCCUCAAGAAAGUCUCAGUCUAACUAAAAUGCUUCCCAACAGGACCCUAAAAUGUAUAUUAUCUGAAACAUGCUUCCAUUUUCUCAGUUUUUAAAAUCUCUUUUUGGGGGGCAC